rnacentral:misc_RNA from 1 species
UAACAACUCCUUAAUAGGACCAUAAAGUCUUGACGCUUCUAGAAAAAAUGUGGAGAAGAAGCAUGCUAUCGAUAUCCUUGGACCAACACGAUUUGCCAGUACACGAUGUUCAACGCUUUUAAACUUGUCAUUUGAUAUUAACUGCAGAAGAUCUGCAAUAUUUACAACAAGAGCACCAGGGGUAGGAGGGACAUCAACCCAAUGAUUUCGAUGAAGAACUUGCAAUCCCCCUAUAUGGUCUUGAAGAAGCAAAGUCAAGAAUCCAUCAUCAGCGUGUUUACUAGCACCUAAUGUUAGUUCUGGUUCUGGACAAGCUGGAUAAUAGUGACAUACAACUGAAAGUCCUUCACCACAAUCCAUUUCGUUCAGAUAGUUUCUAUUGAGUCCAAGUGCUUCUGCUAAUAGUUCAAACAAAGAACGCCCGAGUUUCUUCACUUCCUCAGAGUAUUUAACAAUGAUAUCCCUACAGAUUGGAGGCAAUUCUUCAGGACUAGGAGGAUUAGGAGCCAUAAUGCAGAAAAAAGUAUCCCUCCAAUUAGUUGCUGGUGCAUUAUACAAAUCAAAGUUACUGUUAUAAACUACUCUUUUAGUCAACUCUCGCGUAUACCAUUGCUUCUUGAUAUCAGUAUCUUGUUCAUGAAAACUACAAACACCUCGUAUCAUUUCUUCCAUAACAUCACACGGAACGCCAUGAUUGAUCACUUGAAAGAA